ACAAAGUUUCCGUAGGUGAACCUGCGGAAGGAUCAUUAACACGUAUCCAACGUUAAACCCCUGUGAAGUCCUGCUCCGGAAACUUUUCAAACAGCACUCCCAGUAAAUCAUGGUCGAACAGUUUUGAUUUGGGACCUCUGUUGAAGAGCGUACGUAUUGAGACGGUUGAGAUAGGCAUGGCUUCCCGAAUCAAUCAUCAAAUGAAAGUGUUGAUGCUUGUGAAAGGAUAACGCUUCUCGGUCGCUGGAGGCCCGCGGCCGGCGGACAUGCAAGCCCCUUAAUAACCCCCAACUGUAACAAUGGAUAUCUUGGUUCUC
rnacentral:misc_RNA from 1 species